UACGUAGGGGGCAAGCGUUGUCCGGAAUUAUUGGGCGUAAAGGGCGCGUAGGCGGCUUUUCAAGUCGGGCGUGAAAUCUCCAGGCUUAACCUCGGGUCUGCAGUCGAUACGGGCUAGCUAGAGUGUGGUAGGGGAGAUCGGAAUUCCUGGUGUAGCGGUGAAAUGCGUAGAUAUCAGGAGGAACACCUGCGGUGUAGACGGCUUACUGGACCAUAACUGACGCUGAGGCACGAAAGCGUGGGUAGCAAACAGG
rnacentral:rRNA from 1 species